rnacentral:rRNA from 1 species
CAGUCGCCACGGUAAUACGAAGGGUGCAAGCGUUACUCGGAAUUACUGGGCGUAAAGCGUGCGUAGGUGGUUGUUUAAGUCUGCUGUGAAAGCCCUGGGCUCAACCUGGGAAUUGCAGUGGAUACUGGGCGACUAGAGUAAGGUAGAGGAUAGUGGAAUUUCCGGUGUAGCAGUGAAAUGCGUAGAGAUCGGAAGGAACAUCUGUGGCGAAGGCGACUAUCUGGGCCAUUACUGACACUGAGGCACGAAAGCGUGGGGAGCAAACAGGAUUAGAUACCCCGGUAGUCCCUGUCUCUUAUAC